rnacentral:rRNA from 1 species
CCUACGGGAGGCAGCAGUGAGGAAUAUUGGUCAAUGGACGAGAGUCUGAACCAGCCAAGUAGCGUGAAGGAUGACUGCCCUAUGGGUUGUAAACUUCUUUUAUAAAGGAAUAAAUCGAGGCACGUGUGCCUUUUUGCACGUCCUUUAUGAAUCAGGAUCGGCUAACUCGGUGCCAGCAGCCGCGGUAAUACGGAGGUGCCGAGCGUUAUCCGGAUUUAUGGGGUUUAAAGGGAGCGUGAAGGGGUUGGUAAGUCAGUUGUGAGAGUUUGGGGAUCAACCGUAAAAUUGCAAUGGAUACGGGCAGUCUGGGGGACAGUUGAGGUAGGCGGAAUUCGGGGUGUAGCGGUGAAAUGCUUAGAUAUC